rnacentral:tRNA from 1 species
GCCCCUCUGGCCCAACCGGCAGAGGCGCCCGACUCAAACUCGGGAUCUCCCGGUUCGAAUCCGGGGAGGGGCA